GACGAACGCUGGCGGCGUGCUUAACACAUGCAAGUCGAACGGAAAGGCCCUGCUUUUGUGGGGUGCUCGAGUGGCGAACGGGUGAGUAACACGUGAGUAACCUGCCCUUGACUUUGGGAUAACUUCAGGAAACUGGGGCUAAUACCGGAUAGGAGCUCCUGCUGCAUGGUGGGGGUUGGAAAGUUUCGGCGGUUGGGGAUGGACUCGCGGCUUAUCCGCUUGGUGGUGGGGUAGUGGCUUACCAAGGCUUUGACGGGUAGCCGGCCUGAGAGGGUGACCGGCCACAUUGGGACUGAGAUACGGCCCAGACUCCUACGGGAGGCAGCAGUGGGGAAUAUUGCACAAUGGGCGGAAGCCUGAUGCAGCAACGCCGCGUGCGGGAUGACGGCCUUCGGGUUGUAAACCGCUUUCGCCUGUGACGAAGCGUGAGUGACGGUAAUGGGUAAAGAAGCACCGGCUAACUACGUG
rnacentral:rRNA from 1 species